rnacentral:rRNA from 1 species
AGAGGAAAGAGCUCAAAGUUGGUUACCUGUUUGGCUUACCUAAACCGGAUUGUAAACUGUAGAAGUGUUUUCCAGACACGCCUGGUAAAAAAGUCCUUUGGAACAGGGCAUCAUAGAGGGUGAGAAUCCCGUCAUUGGCCAGAGCUGUUGUCUUUUGUGAUACAUUUUCAAAGAGUCAGGUUGUUUGGGAAUGCAGCCUAAAUUGGGUGGUAAAUCUCACCUAAAGCUAAAUAUUUGCGAGAGACCGAUAGCGAACAAGUACCGUGAGGGAAAGAUGAAAAGAACUUUGAAAAGAGAGUUAAACAGUAUGUGAAAUUGUUAAAAGGGAACCGUUUGGAGCCAGACUGGCUUGAUCGUAAUCACUCUAGGCUUUGGCCUGGAUGCACUUGCGGUCUAUGCCGGCCAACGACAGUUUUGUUUGAGGGAAAAAAUUACAUUGAAUGUGGCCCUUCGGGGUGUUAUAGCUUUGUAAAAAAUACCUUGGACGGACUGAGGAACGCAGCGAAUGCCUUUAGGCGAGAUUGCUGGGUGCUUGCGCUGAU